rnacentral:lncRNA from 1 species
UUUGCUUUUUGUUUCAGACUGAAACGACGAGUGGGAAUCUGUGGCAGGAACAACAAUAUUGGAGCUCUUGCUGUUCCUUGCACUCUCCAGUUCACUAGUUAUAAUUGCAGGGUUACAUUUAUUGCAGGAGGAUACUGAUUUAGAAUCCUCUAAACUGUUUCUUCUCUUACACCUGUAGCUUUCGUUCGUAGGCGAUGUUUGAAGAACAGUUAUAUGAUUUGCACAAGAACCGGUUACGGAUUUGGUGUCAUCAACAGGACAUAUGUGAGAUUCUAGGUUGGUAAAACCACAAGGUAGUAGUACCCCUUUUCUUGAACUUGGUUUAUCCCUGUAAUCUUGUACACUGGUUUCUAUGCUGUUUCCUGAUUCUCCUUCAUCCCAACUUUCUGAUAUUGUUAGGCAUUUCGUGUGGUUUUGGUUGUAUCCCAUAAUUGGGUCAUCUUCAUAGCUCUGUGUGAAAACAGGGUAAUCAUGAGCAGAGAACUGAGAAACAGAGCGUGAAACAGGGGAAGGAGAUAGAAACUUUGCAUUGGUUGAGCUAUUUCCUCGCAUUAAAGCAGCAUGAAGAGCUCUUAGUUCCACUGCUUUGGCUAUAGCAACCUUAAUUUCCUGUCUUGUAGUUUCUGAGUUUCCAUUGUUGUUGUCUUUGAAAACUUGUGUUGAAGUAUUUGUUGAAGCCAUGAAACAUAACAGAGAAACAGAACAAAAUGGAACAU